rnacentral:tRNA from 1 species
GCCUUGGUAGUUUAUUAAAAAACACUGGUCUUGUAAGUCAGAAAUGAAAAAUAUUUUCCCAAAGCU